AUUGAACGCUGGCGGCAUGCCUUACACAUGCAAGUCGAACGGUAACAGGUCUUCGGAUGCUGACGAGUGGCGAACGGGUGAGUAAUACAUCGGAACGUGCCCGAGAGUGGGGGAUAACGAGGCGAAAGCUUUGCUAAUACCGCAUACGAUCUCAGGAUGAAAGCAGGGGACCGCAAGGCCUUGCGCUCACGGAGCGGCCGAUGGCAGAUUAGGUAGUUGGUGGGAUAAAAGCUUACCAAGCCGACGAUCUGUAGCUGGUCUGAGAGGACGACCAGCCCCACUGGGACUGAGACACGGCCCAGACUCCUACGGGAGGCAGCAGUGGGGAAUUUUGGACAAUGGGCGCAAGCCUGAUCCAGCCUUGCCGCGUGCAGGAUGAAGGCCUUCGGGUUGUAAACUGCUUUUGUACGGAACGAAAAGACUCCUUCUAAUAAAGGGGGUCCAUGACGGUACCGUAAGAAUAAGCACCGGCUAACUACGUGCCAGCAGCCGCCGUAAAAC
rnacentral:rRNA from 1 species